GACGAACGCUGGCGGCGUGCUUAACACAUGCAAGUCGAACGGAAAGGCCCUGCUUGCAGGGUACUCGAGUGGCGAACGGGUGAGUAACACGUGGGUGAUCUGCCCUGCACUUCGGGAUAAGCUUGGGAAACUGGGUCUAAUACCGGAUAGGAGCCAUCUUUAGUGUGGUGGUUGGAAAGUUUUUUCGGUGUAGGAUGAGCUCGCGGCCUAUCAGCUUGUUGGUGGGGUAAUGGCCUACCAAGGCGGCGACGGGUAGCCGGCCUGAGAGGGUGUACGGCCACAUUGGGGCUGAGAGACGGCCCAGACUCCCACGGGAGGCAGAAGUGGGGAAUAUUGCACAAUGGGCGCAAGCCUGAUGCAGCGACGCCGCGUGGGGGAUGAAGGCCUUCGGGUUGUAAACUCCUUUCGCUAGGGACGAAGCUUUUUUGUGACGGUACCUAGAGAAGAAGCACCGGCUAACUACGUG
rnacentral:rRNA from 1 species